rfam:Pongo abelii chromosome 19.
UCUCAGGCUGUGACCCUCUAGAGGGAAGCACUUUCUGUUUGAAAGAAAGGAAAGUGCAUCCUUUUAGAGGAUUACAGUUUGAGA